CCCGCACAAGCGGUGGAGCAUGUGGUUUAAUUCGACGCAACGCGAAGAACCUUACCUGGGUUUGACAUCCCGAUCGUACUCUAUGGAAACAUAGGGGUCAGUUCGGCUGGAUCGGUGACAGGUGCUGCAUUGGCUGUCGUCAGCUCGUGUCGUGAGAUGUUGGGUUAAGUCCCGCAACGAGCGCAACCCUUGUCCUUAGUUGCCACCAUUCAGUUGGGCACUCUAAGGAGACUGCCGGUGUUAAACCGGAGGAAGGUGGGGAUGACGUCAAGUCCUCAUGGCCCUUAUAUCCAGGGCUACACACGUGCUACAAUGGCCGGUACAAAGGGUCGCAAUACCGCGAGGUGGAGCUAAUCCCAAAAAGCCGGUCUCAGUUCGGAUUGGAGUCUGCAACUCGACUCCAUGAAGUCGGAAUCGCUAGUAAUCGCGUAUCAGCGUGACGCGGUGAAUACGUUCCCGGGCCUU
rnacentral:rRNA from 1 species